GACGAACGCUGGCGGCGUGCUUAACACAUGCAAGUCGAACGGAAAGGCCCUGCUUUUGUGGGGUGCUCGAGUGGCGAACGGGUGAGUAACACGUGAGUAACCUGCCCCUGACUUUGGGAUAACUUCAGGAAACUGGGGCUAAUACCGGAUAGGAGCUCCUGCUGCAUGGUGGUGGUUGGAAAGUUUCGGCGGUUGGGGAUGGACUCGCGGCUUAUCAGCUUGUUGGUGGGGUAGUGGCUUACCAAGGCUUUGACGGGUAGCCGGCCUGAGAGGGUGACCGGCAACAUUGGGACUGAGAUAAGGCCCAGAAUCCUACGGGAGGCAGAAGUGGGGAAUAUUGCACAAUGGGCGGAAGCCUGAUGCAGCAACGCCGAGUGCGGGAUGACGGCCUUAGGGUUGUAAACCGCUUUCGCCUGUGACGAAGAGUGAGUGACGGUAAUGGGUAAAGAAGCACCGGCUAACUACGUG
rnacentral:rRNA from 1 species